AUGGUGGCCGAGUGGUCUAAGGCGCUGGAUUUAGUCUCCAGUCUGAAAAGGCAUGGGUUCGAAUCCCAUCCAUU
rnacentral:tRNA from 1 species